rnacentral:rRNA from 1 species
UACGUAGGGUGCAAGCGUUGUCCGGAAUUAUUGGGCGUAAAGAGCUCGUAGGCGGUUUGUCGCGUCGAAUGUGAAAACCCGGGGCUCAACCCCGGGCCUGCAUUCGAUACGGGCAGACUAGAGUUCGGUAGGGGAGUCUGGAAUUCCUGGUGUAGCGGUGAAAUGCGCAGAUAUCAGGAGGAACACCAAUGGCGAAGGCAGCUCUCUGGGACGGUACUGACACUGAGACGCGAAAGCGUGGGGAGCGAACAGG